rnacentral:rRNA from 1 species
AGAUUGCAGGCUGCAACUCGCCUGCAUGAAGUCGGAAUUGCUAGUAAUCGCGGAUCAGCAUGCCGCGGUGAAUACGUUCCCGGGUCUUGUACACACCGCCCGUCACACCAUGGGAGUCGGAAAUGCCCGAAGUCUGUGACCCAACCUUAGGGAGGGAGCAGCCGAAGGCAGGUCGGAUGACUGGGGUGAAGUCGUAACAAGGUAGC